CUGUAACAUAGAGGCUUUCUACGGCACUAAAAAUGCUCUGUAUGAUACUAGAAUGAGGGACACAUGUCAUUAUACAUUUGGCCACACCAAUACAAAGUAUGACGCUAAGAGUGAGCCCUAAUGUAAACUAUGAGCUUUGGGUGAUUAUGAUGUGUUAAUGUAGGUUCAUCAAUUGUGACAAAUGUACCACUCUGGUGGGGGAUGUUAAUAAUGGAGAGGCUAUACUUGUAAGUAAUAUAAUGUAUGAAUAGGAUAAUGGUAAACAGCACAAAUGGCUAUAGAAUAAGAGACGAGAGAUUCCUUUUAAGAGCAAGCUUUGUGUAGACUUGGAAAAUAGAGCUUCAAUUGUCCAGAAAAUUUUAUAACAACUUGUGUCUACAAAUUUAAGUCAAAUUUUGACAUGGACGUUUUGCGGCAAGGACUCACGGCCUUUCAGCUACACUAGCUGAGAAACAGAGGCACAUCUGUGCUCCUUCCAAUAUGAGACAUUCAUCUUUCAACUGCUUGACACCUCUUCACCUUCAUUGACCAAAGUCUUCUGGACGAAUCUAUAGCUACUGACAAUCACUGAAGACUGCCUUGGAGAAGUCAUGUGGAGAGUAAAAAUACAUUUUCUUUUCCACUUUGGAGGUGGAGUGGGAGUUGGCUGAGCACCAGUCUCCAUAAGAACCGCAGGAUUUUCUCCCAAACUGCUGAAACCCACUCCGUAGGUGUUGAUGCUGGCACUUCCAAUAUUCCUGCAUGCUCAGGGAAUGACAGCUGCGUCAUAACUACUGCCUGCCAAUGGUGAUCCUAGAACACCAUAGACUUCAGACCCACCCUGAUUUUCAAGACAUGGAAUUAUAAAAUACAUGCAUUUUAAAAACCAUGAAAUAUAACUUUCAACCAGCUAAAAAAAAUCAACUUUUCUAAUCUAAAGGAGGAAGAGAGGAAAAAAUGAAGAAAAUAUGGAAAUAUAGGAUACCAAGUAUUAUACAGAAGAAAAUCCUGUUGUAAGAGUAAUU
rnacentral:lncRNA from 1 species